ACCUAUAAAAUUGCAUGAGAUAAGUUGUAAUUUUUUUUCGAUUUAAAUUUGAAAUGAAUUUAGUCGUAAUUGUUACAGAAUAUAAAGAUGAAUGUAUGUACCAUUGUGCCAGAAAAGAACCAAGCAAAAAAAGAACAUCUCAUAACCACCUUCAACCGAUUUGCGACGAGCCACAUCCACUCGACCAAGAGAAAAGGAGAGUAGACGAGGGAUACAGAAACAGGGACGAAACUAAAGGUUAUGCGGACGGAGGAGGGGGGGUACCACCGACAAUUUGUCGAAUUUUGAUAGGUGAAAACACAAUGUUUUUUAUGUCAAGAGUUUAAUUUUUUGGGUUUCAACAUUUUAGAAUUUUGAAUGAUGAUUUUUUAGAAAUUUCAAGUUUGGAAAAAAAAGCAAACAGACCCGAACGAACUGAAGGAAAAAACGUUCGAGAAUUCAUAUCCUGAUAGGUGAAAAAGGUUUGUUCUUUUUUGUACGAGGAGUUUGAUUUUUUUGGUUUCAAAAUUUAAAGAUCUUGUAAAUUCAAGUUUUGAGAAGUAAAAAACGUUAUUAUUUUUUAUGUGAAGAGUUCAUUUUUUGAGUGUGGAUAAUAGAUUUUUAAAAGGCUUGAUUUUGAAAAAGAAAAACUAACAUGCCUGAAUUUGGCAUUUUUUAAAGUUCAGUAAGUACCUAAGUAUCUAAUAGAACAGACAUUUUCCUUAUGUAGAAAUUCAGAAACAGAAAAAUUGCAUCCGUCAAAAAGCGUUUGCCAUCGAUCCUUUAAUUUUUUCAGCAUCUCUCGAACUCGAACAUUCAGGCCAUACCGAGACUUCAAUUCAGCAUACAAAAUUCCUGCUGAUGAAUGUUUUUUGCAUCUGCUGGCCGAUUAGGAUUUGUUAGCAUUUUGGUGACAAGAGAACCGCUACAGGAAGUCCGCUGCCGAUUUGAACAAUAAUAGGUACUAGGUACCUAUUUUUGGAAUGACCUAAAAAUCCCAUCAUCAAAAUUCAAAGUUGCCAAAUUUAGCCCAGAAUUUUGAUUCUGACAUAUUUUUGACUUUUCCUUUUUUUUUAUUCAGAUCUAAAAGUUUUCUGCCACAUCUUCUUCAGGGCCAUAUUAUUGUCUGCAGAAUUUAACUCGUAAGAUUGGUUUCUUACUUAAUUACUUAAAAUUGCGUUUUUAUUGAAAUUUAUUCAAGAAAUUUUGCUGGAAGGAAAAUGAAUAUGAAAGCCAUGUGCACUAAAUGCAUUUUUAAAAUUCCUCUUGGCCUAAAAAUAAUUUUUAAAAUGAAAGGAUAAUAUGAUCUACCAGGUAAACACCUACCUAUUAAAAGUACCUAGUAAUUUAGCAAUGCUGCAAGCUGGUAUUAAAUUCUCUCAUUAUUAACGUGACUGAAUAAUUAUUUUUUUUUACAAAUAACAA